CACUGGCUCUGACCUGACCUCAGUUAAAGUUUGAAUGGAAGCUGUUGCUGUUUUGUGUUGCAGCAGUAUAGGAUAUGAGAAGAGUGAUUAGAUUUCCUCUAAAGUGGAAAGAUGCUUCAGACCAUGCCUAAGGUCCCUGCAGGGUUUUGCCACGGUUGGUGCGGGCUCGCCCACUUCUCCAGGAGCAAAUCCUGUGCUCCGCAGGCUUGGAAGGCAGAGAGAGCAGAGGUUUGGGAGAGCUCACCAGCUGCUUCAGGCCUGGUAAAGUGUGUGUUAGGAGCUCAGCCUUCUUGGGGGAAUUUCAGGAUCGACUUCCCAGGGGAGGUUCUGCAAAUGAGGAUGGGUGUUAAAGCAGAUCUGCCAAAUCAUGGAAGAAUCACAGGGUCCUAGAAUGGUUUGUGCUGGAAGGAACCUUAGAGCUCAUCCAGUUCCCAACCCCCUGCCAACGGGCAGGGACACCCAUCAGCAUUUACUAGUGUGGCUGGGUCAGGAUUAAACAUUGCAGCAGGCUGCGUGCCAGUGGAAAUCUAGGGAGGAAGGUCUUUCCUCUUUCACAUUUAAACAAGAUCUUAACUUGCAACUCCUUGUCUUUCCCUAAGCAUCGUUCAGUGAAAAGAAAACACCUUGCUGCCUUUUUCAGCCUUUAUGAUGGACAGAAUGCUGAUAGAGCUGUGCAGAAGGAGCUCAAGGCCACCAAGGCUGGGAAACAUUCUGCUUCUGCAGCACUUGCAGGUCACUGUGGGGUUUUGCAUUCAUUAGCUCUCCAGAGUCCCCAUGGGGCACCAGGGCUUUGCAUAUUCACCUGUUACCAAAGAGAAGAGCUGCUCAUUUCCCUCAUGUGCAUUUGUGUACCAUACAUUUACCCCCUCUGCCUUUAUUGGAGAAGAUGUUAGGAAGGAAAAACCUGAUAAUCAUCAAGAGACAGGUCAGUAAUAGAUUACACACACACACGUUUUGAGAUUCUUCCCUUCUAAGCAGUAUUAAUAACUUUUACCAGAGUUAUUUUGCUGCUCAGCGUCUUUCUUUAGGCAAGCGGUUGUUUCCAAAGGAGGAAAAUGAGUUCUGGGAAGGGUUUUCCCUUCACAAGGCACAUUUCCACCACAGGGAUUGCUCCAACAAAUUCUGUCGUGCCAGUCUGUGAUUUCUAACACGUUCUUCAGGAGCGAGAGGCUGCUAUAGCUGCCAUCCCAAAGCUGUGAGCAGGGAUCACUGGUGGUCUGUAGGACCAAUAUGGAACUGCUAAUUUUAGCCAGGAAUGGAGCCUCAAAUAAAAUGUUCUUCCUCAAUCUCAUGGAAAAAAAGUUUAUUAAACAGAAUCGUAUCACUUAAA